rnacentral:rRNA from 1 species
CCUGCGGAAGGAUCAUUAACGAGUACGUGCAACUUCGGUUGCCGAUUCUAUCCUUUUCCUGUGAACAUUUUGACUUACUUUGGUGGACGAUUUAUUGUCUGCCAAAAGAUUUAAAACCUUUUAAUUUAUACAAGUCUGAACUGAUAAUUUAAUUAAUCAAAACUUUCAACAACGGAUCUCUUGGUUCUCGCAUCGAUGAAGAACGCAGCGAAACGCGAUAUGUAAUGUGAAUUGCAGAAUUUUGUGAAUCAUCGAAUCUUUGAACGCACAUUGCGCCCUCUGGUAUUCCGGAGGGCAUACCUGUUUGAGCGUCAUUACUCUCUCAAACUUUUAGUUUGGUUUUAAUUCUUUUUCCUUCUGGAAAAUUAGUUGAAAAGUAUUGGCAGAACAUCUCUUAGCUAUAUACAACGUAUUAGGUUUUACCAACUCGUUGGCUUAAAAGUUUUGAGUUUAUGGUCGGCCCUAUUAACAGCUCUAUAAAAGUUUGACCUCAAAUCAGGCAGGAUUACCCGCUGAACUUAAGC